rnacentral:misc_RNA from 1 species
GAUGAAGAACGUAGCAAAAUGCGAUACUUGGUGUGAAUUGCAGAAUCCCGUGAACCAUCGAGUUUUUGAACGCAAGUUGCGCCCGAAGCCUUUUGGCCGAGGGCACGUCUGCCUGGGCGUCACGCAUCGCGUCGCCCCCCACAAUUCUCCGUAAAGGGAACAUGUGUUUUGGGGGCGGAUAUUGGUCUCCCGUGCUCAUGGCGUGGUUGGCCGAAAUAGGAGUCCUUUCGAUGGACGCACGAACUAGUGGUUGUCGUAAAAACCCUCGUCUUUUGUUUCGUGCUGUUGCUCGCAAGGUAAACUCUUUAAAAACCCCAAUGUGUCGUCUCUUGACGACGCUUCGACCGCGACCCCAGGUCAGGCGGGACUACCCGCUGAGUUUAAGCAUAUCAAUAAGCGGAGGA